rnacentral:rRNA from 1 species
UACGAAGGGGGCUAGCGUUGUUCGGAUUUACUGGGCGUAAAGCGCACGUAGGCGGAUCGUUAAGUCGGGGGUGAAAUUCUGGAGCUCAACUCCAGAACUGCCUUCGAUACUGGCGAUCUUGAGUCCGGAAGAGGUGAGUGGAACUCCUAGUGUAGAGGUGAAAUUCGUAGAUAUUAGGAAGAACACCAGUGGCGAAGGCGGCUCACUGGUCCGGCAUUGACGCUGAGGCGCGAAAGCCAGGGGAGCAAACGGG